AUACCGGCGGCUCGAGUGGUGGCCGCUUUUAUUGGGCUUAAAGCGUUCGUAGCUGGGUUGUUAAGUCUCUUGGGAAAUCUGGCGGCUUAACCGUCAGGCGUCUAAGGGAUACUGGCAAUCUUGGAACCGGGAGAGGUGAGGGGUACUUCGGGGGUAGGAGUGAAAUCCUGUAAUCCUCGAGGGACCACCUGUGGCGAAGGCGCCUCACCAGAACGGCUUCGACAGUGAGGGACGAAAGCUGGGGGAGCAAACCGGAUUAGAUACCCGGGUAGUCCCAGCCGUAAACGAUGCGCGUUAGGUGUGUCGAUGACCACGAGUCAUCGAGGUGCCGAAGGGAAACCGUGAAACGCGCCGCCUGGGAAGUACGGUCGCAAGGCUGAA
rnacentral:rRNA from 1 species